rnacentral:rRNA from 1 species
GGCGGACGGGUGAGUAAUGUAUAGGAACUUGCCUAGUAGUGGGGGACAACGUGUGGAAACGCACGCUAAUACCGCGUACGCUCUACGGAGGAAAGCGGGGGAUCUUCGGACCUCGUGCUACUAGAUGGGCCUAUAUUGGAUUAGCUAGUCGGUAAGGUAAAGGCUUACCAAGGCGACGAUCCAUAGCUGGUUUGAGAGAAUGAUCAGCCACACUGGGACUGAGACACGGCCCAG